CCAGAGGGCUGGGCGGCCGCGUGGGCUUGCUCACGAGGAAAGUCCGGGCUCCACGGAACCACGGUGCCGGGUAAUGCCCGGCGGGGGCGACCCCAGGGAAAGUGCCACAGAGAAUAGUCCGCCAACCUCGCUUGCGAGGCGGCAAGGGUGAAAGGGUGCGGUAAGAGCGCACCGCGCGCGCCAGCAAUGGCCGCGGCACGGCAAACCCCACCGGGAGCAAGACCGAAUAGGGGCGGCAUAUGGGCCUGGUCCGGCUCGUCGCCCGGGUUGGUUGCUUGAGGGCGGGAGCAAUCCCGUUCCUAGAGGAAUGGUCGCACAGGCGGAGCAAUUCGCUGGACAAAACCCGGCUUACAGGCCCUCUGGCACU
rnacentral:RNase_P_RNA from 1 species